GACGAACGCUAGCGGCGUGCUUAACACAUGCGAGUCGAACGGAAAGGAGCUGCUUUCGUGGGAUGCUCGAGUGGCGAAGGGGUGAGUAACAUGUGAGACGCCUGCCCUUGAGGGGGGGAUAACUUAAGAAGACUGGGGCUGAUAGCGGAUAGGAGCACCUGCGGCAUGGCCGGGGUUGGAAAGUUUCGGCGGUUGGGGUUGGACUCGUUGCCUUUCAGUCUGUGGGUGGGGAAGUGGCUUACCAAGGCAUUGACGGGUAGCAGCCCUGAGAGGGUGACCGGCAACAUUGGCACAGACAUACGGCCCGGAGUCCUAAGGGAGGCAGCAGUGUGGAAGGUUCCACGAUGGGCGGAAGCCGGAUGCAGCAACGCCGCCUGCUGGAUGAUGACCUUCGGGUUGUAGACCGCAUUCGCCUGUGACGAAGCGUGGGUGACGGUAAUGGGUAAAGAAGCACCGGCUAACUACGUG
rnacentral:rRNA from 1 species